UAUUAUCUCCUAUAUGUAACUUCCGGUGUGCUUUUGUAACAAUUCGGCUAUUAAUAUUGGAAGGCGCAGAGCAGCGUAUACCUGCAACCGACGAGCUUAAAACAGGGACAGGAGAAGCCAUUAAAACAGGAAACAAACAUGGUCUGACUGCUAAUAAAAGCAAGCAUCUACGUGGUUAGGAAGAUUCGGGCUUCCAUUGCUGAGGGAGAGCAAGUGGAAAAACCCAUUAUAACACCAUGUAGUGCUAUUGCUGAAAUGAGAGCGGGAUGUGUGUCGAGAGGAAAUGCUCCGGCGACCAUGCUGAACUCUGGACCUGAUGAGGGUGUCAGUAGAGCAGCAGGUUCGGGGACGUCCUCAGAGACAACUGUGCAGAAGUGUGGCUCCUGACGUUAAACAUCACCCUGGACGUGGAGACUGCGGUCACCUCAGCUGGAAAAUACCAUUUGUCGUCUUUGUAUUUUUGCAUCACAGUACAAUAAUACACUACUCUGCUGGAUGAUCUCAUGCAUACAUAGAACCAUCUACAUACAACGGUCAACAUCAAUUUUGUUAAAGCAAAAAGUUUAUGGAAUACAAUACAAAGAACAUUAUUUCACUUCUUUCAAGUGUCCAUGCUGUACUCAGUGGCCAAUGUCCAGCUCCUAGUGAUACACAUGUAGGCCUUUUUCAUCUGAGACAUUUUGACUUACCAUAGGGAAGAAAUUUAGAAAGUUUGCUUGUGAACUACACACAAUGUUAUAGGCACCUGAAGAUAACGGAGACAUUUACGUUAUUAAAUAUGCUUGGUUAGUCAACAUAUCAUCUGUGAGAAAGGUCUGUAUUUUUGUACUGCAGUGUUUGAAGGCCAACUCACCAACCUCUCUCCAGGGGCUGAGCAGGCUUGAUGUUUCUGCUGCUGUAUCAAUAAAAUAGAAGAAAUAAAACGCUA